rnacentral:rRNA from 1 species
GACGAACGCUGGCGGCGUGCCUAAUACAUGCAAGUAGAACGCUGAAGGAGGAGCUUGCUUCUCUGGAUGAGUUGCGAACGGGUGAGUAACGCGUAGGUAACCUGCCUGGUAGCGGGGGAUAACUAUUGGAAACGAUAGCUAAUACCGCAUAAUAGCAGUUAUUGCAUGAUAACUGUUUGAAAGGUGCAAUUGCACCACUACCAGAUGGACCUGCGUUGUAUUAGCUAGUUGGUGGGGUAACGGCUCACCAAGGCGACGAUACAUAGCCGACCUGAGAGGGUGAUCGGCCACACUGGGACUGAGACACGGCCCAGACUCCUACGGGAGGCAGCAGUAGGGAAUCUUCGGCAAUGGACGGAAGUCUGACCGAGCAACGCCGCGUGAGUGAAGAAGGUUUUCGGAUCGUAAAGCUCUGCUGUAAGAGAAGAACGAGUGUGAGAGUGGAAAGUUCACACUGUGACGGUAUCUUACCAGAAAGAGACGGCUAACUACGUG